rnacentral:lncRNA from 1 species
AAGGUCAACAGUGAAAAUGCAUCAUUUUUCUGUUUUUGCAUUUUAGAGUUCCAGACAUUGCUGGAAGCAGAGAUGGAGAAGGUGUUACCCACACUGGUUCUGGUACCUGGGACCCAUUUACCCUGAGGAGAAAUUAUCCAGGUAGCAUGCUGGCUUAGCGCCGAGACCACCAAGCAAAGAUUCUACCACUCGGCUUGAGGAGUGAGCUCUUACACUAACUGUCCUCCGCACCAUACUGAUGAGAUGGGGCACAUCCAGCUGUUGAGAAUGUUUUGCCUGAGUGCCACCAAGAUGAUGAGAUCAUCCUCCACUGAAGACAAGCAGAACUGCAGACUCCAUCUCAUUCUCCUUGUCUGCAAAUCCCUCCAUAACUCACUACCAUGUGCAGAGACUGACAGCAGGGCAGGACAAAGCAGAUGUCCUGGGACUCCAGGAGGAAAGGAGCCCAGCGCACAACCCCCUCAGGUUGCUCAAGAAGACCAGGAAGUCCAAUGCCCCAGGGGACUGAAGAGAUGACAAAAAGAGGCCGAGAAAAUCCAGUAAGUAAAAUGCCAAACUCAGUUCCACUCAGAUUGUCUCACUCAUUUGACAGGAAAAAAGCAUAGAGCCCUGACCCUAAAAUAGAGCAAAUCUUCAUUUCAUCUUCUUCAAAAUGAAAUAGGAUACAGAUGGGAGACGCUGCCUCUCCUGUCUGCUCACCCACCACUGCCCCAUAUUGCAUUCGUCGUUA